rnacentral:rRNA from 1 species
CCGUAAACUAAAGUAGCAUAUCAACAAUGCUACUCGCCAGAGUACUACAAGCAAUAGCUCGAAACUCAAAGGACUUGGCGGUGCUUUAUACCCCCCUAGAGGAGCCUGUUCUAUAAUCGAUAAACCCCGAUAAACCUCACCACCUCUUGCUAAUUCAACCUAUAUACCGCCAUCCUCAGCAAACCCUGUCAAGGACCCAUAGUAAGCAAGAGAAUCACACAUUAAAACGUUAGGUCAAGGUGUAGUCUAUGAGGUGGGAAGAAAUGGGCUACAUUUUCUAUCCUCACAGAACAACUAACGCCGCCCCUUAUGAAAAAAGUGGUCAAGGCGGAUUUAGAAGUAAAUUAAGAAUAGAGAGCUUAAUUGAAUAGGGCAAUGAAGC